ACCGAGAGUGGUCCAGGACAUCUGGUUCUCAUCCAGGAAAUCACCGGUUCAAAUCCGGUACGCGGUA
rfam:Candidatus Gottesmanbacteria bacterium RIFCSPHIGHO2_01_FTLL_47_48 rifcsphigho2_01_scaffold_2892, whole genome shotgun sequence.